CUUUGGUAUCAGGGCAACACCAACUUUAUAAACUAUCCUCUAUUAUACUUCCAAGAAAAUAUGAAGUAGAGCUGGGCUUAAUCAUUUAAAUUUUGAUAGAAUGCUGUUGUGAAACCUCUGAGCCUAGAGAUUCUUCCAUUCAGGUUUAAGUUUUUCUAUUAUGAAUUUUUUAAAAAAUAAUUUGUAUUUCUUUUAUUUCAUGUGCCCCAUUCUUUUUUUCAAUUAAAAGGUACCAUAAAGGAGCAGACUCAAAUAAAGAAAAUCCACGCUCCGGUAUUCCAGCUGGCACCUGAGGCCGGCCGGCUGGAUGCAGCCCUGAGCAUCUGUGUCCCGUUGCCUUAUAGCCUCCUCCCAGCACAGGAAGUGGACUUCUGUCCAGUUCAAGUCUGAACACUAUGCUCUAGACUCUGGACCACCCCAGAGAGAUCAACCCUGUCACCCAGGUCAAUAGCUUCUUUUGGGAGGCUGGUGUCCUCUUCCUCAAUUCUCACACCAAGGCUUCAGGUAUAUAAAGCUGGCAUGAAUUUUAAACUAUAUAUUUGACCAAGUUGUUGUUAAUAUCAAUAAUGCUAAGCACUAAUAAGUAACUAGUCUUUUUGAAUAUCAGUUAUUUAAAAUAUCCUAAUUUCUUUACUACACUCACAUAUCUAAAUGGCAUAGAUAAUGUCUCGCAUGGCUUCUCUGCUGCUUUUGUCUUGUUUUGUUGAGACAGGCUUUCAUGGAGCAUAGGCUGGUCUCCAUCUAAUGUGUAGCCCAAGAUGACCUUCAGCUUCCAAUCCUCUUGCCUCUACCUCAUGAGUGCUGGGGUUACAGGUGCAUGUCACCAUGCCUGGGUUUAUGCAUUGCUGGGGAUUGAACUCUGGGCCUCUUGCAAACUAGAUAAGCACUUUAUCAAUUAUGCUAUGCCCUCUUUAGAUGUUCAAUAUCACCCAUAGGGGUUUUUAAUCACAAAAAGUAUAUCAGAUGCAUUUACUAGUAUGAUUAAAGAAAGGAAAAGGAAUAAUUGUUGUAGGGAGAAAUUAGGAUGAUGGGCCUAAGGAUGAAGGUAGAGGACUCUGAUUGCAGAACACUCAAGUUCUCCUUCCUGCACAAGUAACAUUCACAUACAGAUGUAUCGGCUUGGUGGUCCAAGGGUUUCUUAUUAGAUAGAAUGUAAGAACCAACAGAGGAAAACUUAAGAAGAAAUAGGCUUAUUGAAGUCAAAGAAAAUGCUUCCUUAAAAGGGCCAGAAGGCACCCACUGAGCUGCUGAGUGACCCAAACUCUUAAAUGUUGGGGAUGAGGGAGGGUCUUAUGAGUUAAGGCAGGUCUCAUGCUAAUUCUCAACACAUAGCUGGGAAUUCAAAGGAGUGGUCUGACCAAAUGCGCAUCUUUCAGAAGUAGGAUGGUGACUUGGAAGGAGGUGCAUAUAUACAAUGGUAACUCUAAAGGAAAGUCCCUAAACGCUCUUCCCGAUCGAUCGUUCCGAUCCCUGCAGUACCCAGCACACUGACACAGUAGCAAGAAGCCCUGCAGUGUGGAGCCACAUCAGGACAUGGCCAUCAGUCCACAUGUUUAACCCACUGUCCCUGUCCUUUUUAACUUUCCACAUCAGAAACAUUGGGGAUGUUGAGGGAAAACUGAUAGUUAUGCUGGGCUGGAGUGCUGGGGUCUGUAGUGUCUGCUGCUUGGGAGGAGGCAGCUAUUCCUGAGAUGCUAUUGUUCCUGUGCAUUACAGUGUCAGCAACUGUGAAGCCGGAGAAUACACACAUUAACACAAAUGAAACCACAGUUGGGAA
rnacentral:lncRNA from 1 species